ensembl:lncRNA
UGUUGUGUACUUCACUGUUUUUAAUUAGCCUAUUGUUUAUGCUGUUUCUGUUCAGGGCCCACCUGGACCUGAAGGUUUGCCCGGUGUGCCGGGUGAGAAUGGACAAAGGGGUAGAAAAGGUGAUGCAGGAUUGCCGGGAGUUGAUGGUCUUCCAGGACCACCUGGUCCUCAGGGGCCUUCUGGGCCUCCUGGGAGCCCUGGACAAACAGGACCUCCAGUAAGUUUACAUGCAACAAAAUAAUACUGUUUUCAUUUGUUUUCAUUUACGAACUGAACUAGAGCCACAUAACAGUAGCAGAUGAUAUUAAAUUCAUCUGUUUGUUCACAUAGGGAUUACCUGGUGAAAUCGGCUUCUCAGGAAAACCAGGAGAAGCAGGAAAACCGGUGAGUCCCUCUGACUCAAA